rnacentral:rRNA from 1 species
UACAGAGGUCUCAAGCGUUGUUCGGAUUCAUUGGGCGUAAAGGGUGCGUAGGCGGCGCGGUAAGUCCGGUGUGAAAACUCGAGGCUUAACCUCGAGAUGUCAUCGGAAACUAUUCGGCUAGAGUCCGGAAGAGGAGAGUGGAAUUCCUGGUGUAGCGGUGAAAUGCGUAGAUAUCGUAAGGAAGACCAGUGGCGAAGGCGGGUCUCUGGACAGUUCCUGACGCUGAGGCACGAAGGUCAGGGGAGCAAACGGG